AGAGUUUGAUCAUGGCUCAGGAUGAACGCUAGCGGCAGGCUUAAUACAUGCAAGUCGAGGGGCAACAGGGGUAGCGAUACCUGCUGGCGACCGGCAAACGGGUGCGCAACACGUACAGAACCUUCCUUUAAGCGGGGGAUAGCCCAGAGAAAUUUGGAUUAAUACCCCAUGGUAUUAUUGUUUGGCAUCAAAUAAUAAUUAAAGAUUUAUCACUUAGAGAUGGCUGUGCGUCUGAUUAGGUAGUUGGUUGGGGUAAUGGCUCACCAAGCCUUCGAUCAGUAACUGGUGUGAGAGCACGACCAGUCACACGGACACUGAGACACGGGCCCGACUCCUACGGGAGGCAGCAGUAAGGAAUAUUGGUCAAUGGAGGCAACUCUGAACCAGCCAUGCCGCGUGAAGGAUGAAGGUCCUCUGGAUUGUAAACUUCUUUUAUGUGGGAAGAAAUGCAUUCUUUAUAGAGUGUUUGACGGUACCAUAGGAAUAAGCACCGGCUAACUCCGUGCCAGCAGCCGCGGUAAUACGGAGGGUGCGAGCGUUAUCCGGAUUCACUGGGUUUAAAGGGUGCGUAGGUGGGGAAGUAAGUCAGUGGUGAAAUCUCCGUGCUUAACAUGGAAACUGCCAUUGAUACUAUUUUUCUUGAAUUUUCCGGAGGUUAGCGGAAUAUGUCAUGUAGCGGUGAAAUGCUUAGAUAUGACAUAGAACACCAAUUGCGAAGGCAGCUAACUACAGGGAUAUUGACACUGAGGCACGAAAGCGUGGGGAUCAAACAGGAUUAGAUACCCCCGUAGUCC
rnacentral:rRNA from 1 species